rnacentral:lncRNA from 1 species
GAGCUUCACAAAUCUUUCAUUGUAUCUUUGGGGACAUACAUUACUUUCUACAAUUUAUCUUUUAAAUAAGGUUCUCUCUAAAUCCAUUCCUUCUAUAUCAUAAUAGAUAUGUGGUGCAGACACCAGAGCCAUCAAAAAUUAACAACAUGAUUUAAAUUUGAUUUGGAUCGAAGAAGCCUCAUUAGAUUGAUUCUAUUUUAGUUAUUUAUUUUCAGUCAAUAAAUUUUUAAUGCAUUUAGCUUUGGGUCCAUAGGGCCAUACUUGAAUUUGUCCACGUCACCUUUGGAGCCACCACUCUCCACAUACC